AUGAACGGGGCGAUUCUGAAAAGAGGCAGACGAAAAUCGAGCCCGCCCUGCCCGGGCUGGGCUGGGAACAGUUCGCAGGGCUCUGCCGAGUGGGCGAGCGAGGCGCGCGAGCAGGGCGCCCGUCCCCCCUCAGCCCCGGAAAAUGAUCAAGUCAAUCAUGUGGACAUGUUUCAUUAUUCAUUGAACACAAUCUUUUACAACGCUCCGUUUACGUGCCCGAGUUUGCUCCCGACGCCCGCGUUUCAGUGUUUAAGGUGUCAGCCCUGAAUUUGGAGGUGUGACUGCAGUGGGUCAAGGUAGGACCCCAUGGGGUGGGCUCAUGGGGUGUGGGGAAGAGCUGGCUGAGUUCUGAGUGUUCCUUCUCUGUCGUGAGACCCUUUGUGGCUGGGGAAUAACAGCUCCUCAAGCACCUGUUCUGGCAGAAGUUAGAAGAGGGCAGUGGCUCCGAGGCGACCCUGAAGGCAAGCGUGUGCUGAGGCCAGCAGGUCAGGAGACAACUGCUAUUGAGAAGAUCAUUGCUGCUCAUAGUCGCCAAGGGGAGGGGGCAGCCACGCCAGGCCGGGCUGCCUGGGGAAGCACCAGGGUUGGUCAGGAGCCGGAAGGGGCAAGGGGAAAAUGUGGGCAAGGGCCUUCAUUAUGGUUUUGGAGGGAAAGGCAUGGCAUGGCAGGGUAAGCAGCCCAAAGACUGGUUAACUGAGAUCCUUUCACCAGGCUUUGAGCACAGGGGCUGUCUCCAGUUGUCUGGCACCUGGUCCUGGGGUAACUAGGGCAGGGGGACAGUGGUCCAGCAUAUGAGAGCCUGAUGUAGGAGAUGGUUGGGGCGUGGGCUCUGGAUUGGUUGGUUUGCAGAUGAAAGAUGUGCUCCCAGGGCAGUCAUUUGCUAUCUCUGGGAACUGGUCGUGCUGGGAGGGGCUGUCCCUGUAGGGUCAGCAAGGCCCCAGAUGCCAAAGCAUCAGAAACAUAUGGUCACUGCACCUGAGCCCUGAGCUAGGGCUGAUUUGGAACUGGUGCCCUGUGC
rnacentral:lncRNA from 1 species